rnacentral:rRNA from 1 species
UACAGAGGUCUCAAGCGUUGUUCGGAAUCACUGGGCGUAAAGGGUGCGUAGGCGGCGGGGAAAGUCAGAUGUGAAAUCCGGAGGCUCAACCUCCGAAUGGCAUCCGAUACUACCUCGCUAGAGAUUUGUAGAGGAGCUUGGAAUUCUCGGUGUAGCAGUGAAAAUGCGUAGAUAUCGAGAAGAACGCUCGCAGCGAAGGCGAAGCUCUGGGCAAAUUCUGACGCUGAUGCACGAAGGCUAGGGGAGCAAACGGG